CUACGGGGUGCUGCAGUGAGGAAUAUUGCACAAUGGGGGAAACCCUGAUGCAGCAACGCCGCGUGGAGGAUGACGCAUUUCGGUAUGUAAACUCCUUUUAUAUGUCAAGAAAAUGACGGUAGCAUAUGAAUAAGCACCGGCUAACUCCGUGCCAGCAGCCGCGGUAAUACGGAGGGUGCAAGCGUUAUUCGGAAUCACUGGGCGUAAAGGACGCGUAGGCGGGUUAUCAAGUCAGGUGUGAAAUCCUACAGCUUAACUGUAGAACUGCACUUGAAACUGGUAGCCUAGAGUAUGGAAGGGGGAGAUGGAAUUAGUGGUGUAGGGGUAAAAUCCGUAGAUAUCACUAGGAAUACCGAAAGCGAAGGCGAUCUCCUGGGACAUAACUGACGCUAAGGCGUGAAAGCGUGGGGAGCAAACGGGAUUAGAUACCCGCGUAGUC
rnacentral:rRNA from 1 species